rnacentral:rRNA from 1 species
GACGAACGCUGGCGGCGUGCUUAACACAUGCAAGUCGAACGGGGCCUUCCUUUCGGGUUGGUUUAGUGGCGAACGGGUGAGUAACACGUGGGUGAUCUGCCCUGUACUUUGGGAUAAGCCUGGGAAACUGGGUCUAAUACCGGAUAUGACUGUCUCUCGCAUGGGGAGUGGUUGAAAGUUCUGGCGGUACAGGAUGUGCCCGCGGCCUAUCAGUUUGAUGGUGGGGUAAUGGCCUACCANGGCGAUGACGGGUAGCCGGCCUGAGAGGGCGACCGGCCACACUGGGACUGAGACACGGCCCAGACUCCUACGGGAGGCAGCAGUGGGGAAUAUUGCACAAUGGACGAAAGUCUGAUGCAGCGACGCCGCGUGAGGGAUGACGGCCUGUGUAAC